CACAAAUGACGCCGCUGGAAGCUCAUUUCAAUGACAGCUUUCCUUUGCUCCGGCUUUGGGUUAUUAAUCUUGUCGGAGAUCGAUUUAGUGACGAGCUCCUCUUGAUCAGCUCGCAAAGGUAACUUAAUUGAUAAGCAAUUACUUUGUAAAUAAUAGAUUUGUCUGAGACCAAUACACUGAGAAUUGUAAAUAAACUUGAAUAUUUUUCCUUAUUUUUUGGUUACAAUCUUUUUCAUUACUAAAUUAAAAUCACCAAAAAAUAAAACACUCUCUCUUUGUAAAAUCAAACAGUUGAACAUGUAAAUUAUAACAUAGUAGCUCUUGGUAAAUGAAUAAUGAGAUGGUGUGAAUGAAGAUGAUGAUUGAUAAUAUACACAAGAGGGUAAAUUGGUACAAACAUGUAAAAGUUUAACAUGAAAGCUACAAUAAAAUUCUUGGUUGCCAAUAAUAUUAUGUUAUUAUUGACAGUUUUACAAAAAUAUCCUUAUUGGGUUAUGUUGUUAAAGGUAGGACAAUUCUGACAAUCAGUUAAAAAUUAAUGAUUGUUUGGUCAUUUGAAGUUCCCAAUCAAUCAUUGAAGCCAAAUGUUUAAACAAGAUAUGGCAUAAAAAUUUAAAUAAAAUGACCAGAAAAUCCUUAACAAUAAAUUUAUUACUCUAAGUGCACAUGUCGACUAGGUGUGUGCUUAUUCCCCUUUAUUAUAGAGUAUAUAUAGAAAUGAUAACAUAAAUUAUUUGUAAAGUACAUUUAUUGUGGUUAUAUAAUAGCCUAUAUUGUAUUAUUGAUAUUCUGAUCAAAUAUUAAUUAUUAUUUUUAAAUAAGCUUUUCACGUUUUAUUUUUUAAAAUUUUUCUGACCAAAUCUUAAGAUAUAGUCUGGUCAAAUAAUAGUCCGCUCAAAUCUUAAGAUAUAGUGUGGCUAAAUAAUAGUCUGCAUUAAUUAUUCUUGAAAUCUUGACCAAAUAUUAAUUAUUAUUUUUAGAUGUAUUUUUUAAUGUUUCACUUUUUUAAACUUUUCUGACCAAACUUCAAGAUAUAGUGUGGUUUAUAGUCCACAUUAAUUAUUCUUGUAUUCUUGAAAGCUUGAGCAAAUACUGAUUAUUGUUUUUAGAUAUGUUUUUUCACGUUUUACUUGUUUAAACUUUUCUACCUAAAUAGCAAGGUAUAGUGCGGUCAAAUAAUAACAUAUACUAAUUAUUCUUGUAUUCGUGAGAUCUUGACCAAAUACUAGCAUAUAUAUAGAUUUUCCCUUGAAAAACAAAUUAGCAAUAACCCUCCCUGUGUCUUUUUCUGCUUCACAAAAUUUCCUCACAUGAAAAAAGCUUCACACCAUCAUUUUUACUAGGAAGUUUAAUUUUUUUUUCCAGUUUUAGCUGUUCCGUAUUUUUUUGUUGUUUCAAAAAAAUCUCCUAUCACAUCUUUGAUAUUAUAUUCAUUGAAUAUGACAUCGAUUUCAGUAGUACUUUCAGUCUGAAAGAAAAAAUUAUUUAGUUCAAGAAAAGCAUUUUUCUUUUGUGCAAGAAAUUUUGAUUGAUUGUGAAAAAAGUUUUAAGGAAGAAAAAAGGACUAUCGAAGAGAAGUAUAAAAAAGGUAAUAAAAGAGUGCCUUAAGGACUAUAAAGAGAAAAUGGAUUUGCUAUAUGAGAAAUUUGAUGAAUUAAAAAAUGCGAAAAGUGAAAAAGAAGCUUACUAUAAGGAGAAAUUCAGCGAGUUGAAGAAUAGAGUUCCUCUUUUGAUGGAAAAUAAGAGAAAAAUGAAGAAGGUAUUACUGUUAUGUGAAUUCAGGUCUAUUAUUUUUGUUUUUUUUUGCUUUUGUUUUCUCCUUACAACUUGUUAUUUAUUAUUUUAUAAUGUAUUUUAUUGUUUUGAUAAUAGUUAAUGGUAGAUCUUGAUUUUAUUGUAUCUGCAAAACCCAUUUUAAUUAUUUGUGGAUUCAAACUUAUUUAUUAAUCGAAUGCCAUAAAUAAUUAAAAUAGAUUUUGCAGAUGUAGAAAAAUCAAGAUCUACCAUUAACUAUUAUCAAAACAAUAAAAUACAUUAUGAAACUAUACAUAACAAGUUGUAAGGGAAAAAUAAAGGGAAAAGGACCAUGGGCUAGCCACUUUUAAAUAAAAUGACCGAUAAUUGAAAAGGUGGACAACUUAGGUCUGUCGGCCCAAUUUAAUACCCUUUUUUAGCCAUUUGGCCCAAUUUGGCCCAAAAAGGACUUAGUCAUAUUUUGAGCCCUUAACUUCAACGAUUUUUAAAUUAACUUUUCCGACCCCAAGACAUAGAUUUUUGAGUUGAUUCAUGUUCGAGGGUGUAAAGGAAAUGUCUCAAAGGAGUUUUGGAUUUUUCAAAUGAGGUUUGAGACAUGUUUGGAUUCCCAAACUAGUAGGCCACCACAAUUGCACUGUGUCGCGGUGCCUAUAGCAGUAAGCCACUUGGCACGUCGCGGCAAGCCCCAAAUCGAUUUUCUACUCAAAGUUUUAAAACCGAGGGGCAGUCUCAUCUUUUCCCUAUAGCCCCAAGUUGUGAAAAUAGAAGAUUAAAACGUUUAUAGAGCAUUAUAGGAUCAAAAGUGAUCAGUUUUUCUCAAAAACAAAGCCCUAACCCUUCCCCAAAGAUCAAAAGUUCAAUCUUUAAGUUCAAGAUUUCCAAUAAAGGAAUCAAUAUUUGGGCUCUACUCUUCGAAAGAAGUAAUCUAAGGUAUGUGGGACUACCCUAAACUCCAUGGAUAUAAGUUUUCUUGUUUUUACCAAGUUCAAAGAAUCUAUAACCUUGUUUACAAAGCAUGUUUGAUAUUAUUUCGAAAAACAGGUAUCAUGGAAUUGUUUUAAUGAAAGCACGUGAUGUCUUGAACUGAUUUUCACGAACCUUAAAUGUUAUUAUGUAUAUAUAUAAUUUCAUUUGUAAUGAAAAUUUUAAUAGAGAGCAUGAUUUAUGAGAUCUCCCUCGCAAAUGUGGAUUUUACAUGAUUUAUGUGAUAUGUGCAUUCACUUUCAUGUUUUAAACUUCAUUGUCAGUUAAUGGUUAUCAAAACUUGGGUUGAGGUUGUUUGUAGAUUUAUGAGAGGGAGUCUUUUUACCUUCACUAAACCCUUUGCAUGAAAACGAAGUAUUUCAAGAUUAAAUAAUUGACAUGACCAUCACAUGCUUAAGUCAUAAAUCUUUUAGGUGGUUAUUUGCAUGUUUGGAAUUAGAAAGGCUGUGGAAUUGCUAUGAAUGACUUGCAAGUCUGGGUAUGGCGAUACCCGGUGAUGGUGAGCCCUUAAUAAAAUAUGUGUUGAAUGUUGUAAAGGCAUGAAAACAUGGUUUUAAGGAAAUAAAAUUUGGGUAUAGAAGGGGUUAGAUGGUUACCCGAAGAAAGCACGAGUCGUGAGACUCAAUGCUGGAAAUUGUGAUUUACCGACAUAGGGUUACGGUACCCUGCUUUGUGGUCUGGUGUACCUUGAUUCGUGUCGUCCCAACUUGAGAUUAAGGUUAGGAUCCCUAAUUUGUGGAUUGGUGCACUACCAUGACAUAUCGAUUUGAUUGGGAAUAUGACACCAUGUUGUGUGGUCUUGCAUGUAUCCUUUACUAACACAACAAUCCUUGUGAAAAACUUGGAUUAGGGGCUUGGCCACCGAAUUAAUGAAGGAUUCCAUAUAUCCCGUGGGAUGAUUAAGAUUGUAGGGUGUACCAUCUAGCUCAUAAAUAAAUAAAUAGAGAAUAAGCCACGAUUUCUAAGAAUUAUUGAUGUCCUUAUUCGUAUGCCUAUGUGUUUUUCACUUAUGGAUUAUGCUCAUUGUUUUUUAAAAUGCUCUCAUUUAUGUUGUAUAAAAAUACGUUCUUUAGGGGUGUUUCACAUACCAGUACAAUUAUAUUGACUCCCUAUAUUUCAAGAUCUGAGGCCCAGUCCCGGGGUUCCACUAAGCAAUAAAUUUGUGUGUCUGAGAUUUGCAAUUGGUGAGCCUCUCCUAUUUCGGAAGGCGCGCAUAUAAAACAUUGUUAUUUAUUUGAUUCAUGAUCUGACUAGGGGCCUUCUCCCAAUUUUGUUUUUGGACAUAUAUUGAAUCUUGUAAUGUUAGAGAUUUCUCAGACGGGUGUUAUGUGUUUUGAACAUUAAGGAUUCCUUUCGAAUUGUAUAGUUUAAUUAUGACAUUGACCAUGUUUUCGUAUGAAUAUUUUCCGUAUUUCUUUAUAUUGCAUGAAUAUUGUGCAUGAUUUCCAGAUAGAUAGGGGUGCUCGGGCCUCUAUGGUUUGGGAUGCUCGUAGUGGAUAGGGUGUCGGCUCAGGUCAUGACAAACUUGGUAUCAAAGCACGGUUCAUGGUCCCAGAAUGUCUGAAAAUCAUGUCGGGUAGAGUCAUAUUUAUAGGUAUGUAGUGUGUCAGGCUUAAAAGUAGAAGGCUAUAAGGCAUUUAGAAAAGUCUCUCUCCUUUUCAUGAUUUAGUUCGUGCUAUAGAGUCUGAAUGUUAUCUAAUCAAUGAUUUCUUGUAGUUCAAAAAUUUAUCAUUCCUCUAUGUCGAUCCAACGAACAGAGGAUGUACUCCCUACCCAUGGGAUAUGGACACAUAAUAGAACUCGUACUUCAGAGUUUGUUGCUACUCUGAGAGUUUCUCAUGUUGAGAUUAGUCCACUUAGAGCUUCUCGAUCUAGAGCUAACCGUACUCAACCUUCCCAGAGAAAAGUAUCUAAUGCCGAGUUCCGACAGUCUAUGCAUGUGAUAGCUCAGUUGGUGGCUUCUCAGACCUGUUGGUCUGAAGAUAUGGGGUCUGUUUCUAGUUCAUCUGAGAUUACCCGGGUUGGCCAAUUCAUGAGGCUAAACCUACCUAUGGUUACUGGUAUGAAGGUUGAUGAAGACCCCCAAGGGUUCAUUGAUAAAUUGGAGAAAAUUUUUAGGGUUAUACAUGUGAAUGAGGUUGAAUGGGUUGAAAUGGUAGCCUAUCAAUUGAAAGAUGUAGCCAAUCAGUGGUAUUAUGAAUGAGAGGAUUCUAAGGGUAAAGACACUGAGCCUUCGGUGUGGGGUGAGUUUGUGGAAGCUUUCCUGGAUUGUUUCUUCCCCAGGAAUUGAAAAAAAUCAAAGGAUGAAGAAUUCAUGAACUUGAAACAAGGGAAAAUGAGUGUUAAAGAGUAUAUGUUGAAGUUUACCCUGCUAUUCUGUUAUGCCCCAAAAUUAGCGGGUAACGUGAGAGCCCAAAUGAGAAAGUUUACAUCUGACCUCUCGGAUGAUCUGGUGUUAGAAUGCAAGGGAGAAAUACUGAAUAAGGAUAUGGAUUUCUAUCAAUUAUUCAUUCACAUGCAGCAGGUUGAAGAGCAGAAGAAAAGACUGGCAGAGGCAAGGGAGAAAGAUAGCCAGGCCUAGAGAGCCAGGUCUACAAACCAGAAUAACAGUCAGCACCAAGGUGGUAACUGAGGUAACAAGUGGUCGAAGAAAAAUUUUUAGAGUAAUGCUCAGUCUCAGUCAGUUCCCCAGUACCCAUACCUUCAGUUGAUUGGUGAUUUCAAAAUUUUUAGCCCAACAAUGGAUCAAGGGUAUAGGUUACUCAGUCUCAGGUGAGUGUGACUCAGUCAUUUAGGCAGCAUCCUUGUUGUGGUAAUUAUGGAAGGAACCAUUCAGGGAAGUGUUAUUCCGAGAUUUGGACAUGUUAUCCGUACGGCCAAGUGGGCCAUAUUCAGAGGGACUGUCCUUCAUCUAGAGGGAAUUUUGGUGGUUCCAAGGCCCAAGCAAAUUCCUUAGAACCACCACCACUACCCAAGGGUACCACUUUAACUACCAGGGGCAGUCAUAAUCACUUAUAUACUUUAUCAAACCUCCAUGAUGUAAAGGCUUCACUAGAUAUUGUGAUGGGUACGUUAUAAAUUUUCUUUCGUAGUGUAUAUGUGUUGCUUGAUCCAGGAUCUAACUUGUCUUAUGUGACACCGUAUGUGGCUAUUAGUUUUGAUUUUGAGCCUAAAAUUAUUUCAGAACCUUUCUCUGUUUCCACUCAUAUUGGCGACUUUAUUGUGGCUAUAAGGGUGUAUAGAAAUUGUGUUGUGUCUAUCUAUAAUCAUGAUAUUGUGGCGAAUCUGGUAGAGCUAGAUAUGAUUGACUUUGAUGCUGUUUUAGGAAUGUAAUGGCUCCAUUCGUGUUAUGCCAUACUAGACUGUAGAACCAAAAUAGUCACUUUCUAUAUUCCAAAGAAACCAGUGAUAGAGUGGGAGGGGUAUUCUCUAUCACCUAGGGAAAAGUUCAUAUCUAAUCUCAUAGCCAGCAAACUUAUAUCUAAGGGUUGUUUGUAUCAUCUUAUUCGGGUCAAAGAUUCUAGUACUGAAAUUCCUUCCCUCCAGCUUGUCCCUAUAGUUAAUGAAUUCAUGAAAGUCUUUCCCGAUGAUCUCCCAGGGAUACCAACUGAUAGGGAGAUAGAUUUUGGCAUCGACUUGUUUCUGGACACUCGUUCUAUCUCUAUUUCACCAUAUAGAAUGGCUCCUGCAGAAUUGAAAUAGUUGAAAGAACAGUUAAAGGACCUUCUUGAUAAAGGCUUUAGUUAUCCAAGUGUUUCUCCCUUGAGUGCUCCAGUGCUCUUUAUGUAUAAUAAAUAUGGUUCACUCCGUAUGUGUAUAGACUACCGUCAACUUAAUAAGGUUACUGUCAAGAAAAAGUACCCUCUUCCCAGAAUCGAUGAUUUAUUUGAUCAACUCCAAGGUGCCAAAUAUUUCUCAAAGGUAGACCUUCAUUCGAGGUAUUAUCCAUUGAAGGUUGGGGAGGCUGAUAUUCCCAAAACAGCUUUUCGAACCUGAUGUGGCCAUUAUGAAUUCCUGGUUAUGUCCUUCGGACUGACUAAUGCCCCUACAAUUUUUAUGGACCUAAUGUAUAGGGUGUUCCAUCAGUUUCUAGAUUUAUUCGUUAUAAUUUUCAUUUAUGAUAUUCUGGUUUACUCUAAGAUUGAAGAGGACCAUGCCAUCCACCUCUGAAUUAUCCUUCAGACCCUCAAAGAUCAUGAAUUAUAUGCAAAGUUUUCCAAAUGUGAAUUCUGGCUUAGUGCUAGUGCUUUCCUGGGGCAUAUCAUUUCUAGUGAGAGGAUUAAGGUUGACCCCCAAAAGGUUGAGGCAGUGAGAAAAUAGCCCAUACUCACGACUCCAACCGAUAUCCGGAGCUUCUUGGGUUUAGCAGGGUAUAACAGAAGGUUCAUAGAGAGUUUUUCCUCCAUAGCUUCUCAACUUACCAAAUUGAUGCAGAAAAAGGUGAAAUUCUUGUGCUCUGACUCCUGUGAGAAUAGUUUUGAGAAACUGAAAGACAAGUUGACCACCGCACCAGUUUGACCCUUCCCGAGGGUAUAGAGGGUUUUAUUAUGUACUGUGAUGUAUCCCGAGUGGGACUUGGGUGUGUAGUUAUGCAGCACGGUAAGGUGGUAGCUUAUGCAUCUAGGCAGUUGAAGGUGCACAAGUGAAAUUAUCCCACGCAUGACUUAGAGUUAGCGGUUGCGGUGUUUGCAGUUAAAAUCUGGCAGUGUUAUCUUUAUGGGGUGCAUGUAUAUGUAUUCACUGAUCACAAAAGUUUUCAAUAUGUUUUCCCACAAAAAAAACUGAAUCUUGGGCAGAGGCAUUGGUUGGAACUAUUGAAGGAUUAUGGCAUGAGCCUACAUUAUCAUUUGGGCAAGGCGAACAUGGUAGCCGAUACCCUUAGCAGGUUGUCAAUUGGUAGUUUUACUUAUGUUAAGAAAGGGCAAAGAGAGAUGGUGAAGGAUAUUCACCGACUUAUAAAUUUGGGAGUUGGACUUCUAGAUUCUGAAGAUGGGGAAGUAUUCGUUCAUGAGAUAGCUAAAUCCUCCUUAUGUGCUGAAGUUAAGGAAAAGCAGGUCGAAGACCCUAUCUUGAUGCAGAUUAAGAAAAAUGUUGGUCAACAGAAAGUGAUGGCAUUUGAAAUUGGAGGUGAUGAGAUUUUGAGGUAUUAGGGUAGGCUAUAUGUAUUGAACAUGGAUGGUUUACGAGAUAGGAUUCUAGAUAAAGGUCACACUUCGAGGUAUGUUGUUCACCCAGGAUCUACGAAAAUGUAACAUGACCUUAAGGCUAUCUAUUGGUAGAAUAAUAUGAAAAAAGAUGUGGCUAAUUUUAUUUCUAAGUGUAUGAAUUGUCAACAAGUCAAGGUAGAAUAUUUGAGACCGGGUGGCACUUCCCAAGAGAUAACUUUGCCUAUGAGUUAGAUUUUCCCGCGAGUAUGGCUUCCGUACAUCCAAUAUUACAUGUGUCCAUGUUGAAAAAGUGCAUUGGAGAUCAUUUUUUAGGGUUUCCAGUAGAAGACAUCAAUGUAAAAGACUCCUUGUCAUAUGAAGAAAGACCCAUUAACAUUCUGGAUCAUCAAGUUAGGAAGCUGAGAAGUAUGGACAUAGCUUCAGUUAAGGUGUUAUGGAAGAAUCAAAAGGCUGAGAAAGCUACUGGGGAGUCAAAAAAUGGUAUGCGUACUAGAUACCUAAACCUUUUUGAGAAUGUGGAUGACAACAUAAAAGGUACAAAUCCUAUAAGACUCUCUUUAUUUCUUCCUUAGCGUGCUUGAAAUCGUGUUUGUCUGUGUCCCGAUCCAUCAUUCGGGGAUGAAUGAUACUAAAGGGGGAUAAUUUAAUACCCAGUAACAUUCUCUUCUUGAUAACACACUUAGUAGAAUUCAUGGGUAACUACCCAGUAACAUUCUCUUCUUGAUAACACACUUAGUAGAAUUCAUGGGUAACUUGCAACCUGAAGAUUUAUCUAAAUGUUUAAAAGGACGUAGUUAUAUUUUGAGUCCUUAACUUCAAAGAUUUUUAAAUUGAUCUUAUGACCCCAAGACAUAGAUUUUUGAAUUGAUUUAUGUUCAGAAGUGUAAAGGAGGUGUCUCGGGGGAGUUUCAAAUUUUUUGGACGAGAUUUGAGAUGUGUUUGGAUUCCAAAUCAGUAGGUCACCUCGAUUACACCGUGUCGUAGUGCCUAUAGCGGUAAGACACUUGGCGUAUCGCGGCAAGGCCCCAAAUCGGUUUUCUGCUGAAAUUUUUAAAAACUAAGGGGCAGUCUUAUUUUCUCCCUAUAGCCCCAAGUCGUGAAAAUAGAAGAUUAAAACGUUUAUAGAGCAUUAGAGGCUCAAAAGUAAUUAGUUUUUUCUCAAAAACAAAACCCUAACCGUUCCCCAAAGAUCAAAAGUUCAAUUUUAAAGUUCAAGAUUUCCAAGAAACGAAUCAAGAUUCAGGUUCUACUCUUCGAAUUAAGUAAUCUAAGGUAUGUGUGACUACCCUAAACUUCAUGGGCAUAAAUUUUCUUGUUUUUAUCAAGUUCAAAGAAUCUAUAACCUUUUUUACAAAGCAUGUUUGAUAUUACUUCAAAAAGCAAGUAUCAUGGAAUUGCUUUGAUGAAAGAAUGUAAUGUCUUGAACUGAUUUUCACAAAACUUAAAUGUAAUUAUGUAUAUAUAUGAUUUUGUUUCUAAUGAAAAGUUUAAUAGAGAGCAUGAUUUAUGAGUCCUCCCUUAUAAAUGUAGAUUUUACAUGAUUUAUGCAAUAUGUGCAUUCGCUUGCAUGUUUUGAACUUCAUUGUCAAUUGAUGGUUAUCCAAACAUGGGUUGAGGUUGUUUGUAGAUUUAUGAGAGGGAGUCUUUUUUCUUUAACUAAACCCUUUGCAUGAAAACGAAGUAUUGCAAGAGAUUUAAUAAUUGACAUAACCACCGCAUGUUUAAGUCAUAAAUCUUUUGGAUGGUUAUUUGCAUGUUUAGAAUGAGAAGGGCUGUGGAAUUGGUAUGAAUGACUUACAAGUCUGGGUCUGACGAUACCCAGUGAUGGUGCGCCCUUAAUAGAAUAUGUGUUGACUUUUGUAAAGGCAUGAAAGCAUGGUUUCAAAGAAAUAAAAUUUGGUGAUAAAAGGGUUAGAUGGUUACCUGAAGAAAGCACGAGUCGUGAGACUCAAUGUUGGAAACUAUGAUUUGACGACGUGGGAUUACAGUACCUUUCUUUGUGGUGUGGUGUACCUUGAUUCAUGUCAUCCCAACCUGGGAUUAAGGUUAGAAGCCCAGCUUUGUGGACUGGUGUACCUUGAUUCAUGUCGUCCUAACCUGGGAUUAAGGUUAGAAGCCCUGCUUUGUGGAAUGGUGCACUAGCAUGACAUGUUGAUUUGAUUGGGAAUAUGACACUAUGUUGUGUGGUCUUUUGUGUCUCCCUUACCAAUACACCAAUCCUUGCGACAAACUUGGAUUGGGGGCUUGGCUGCUGAGUUAAGGGCAGAUCCCAUAUAGCCCAUGGGAUGAUUAGGAUUGUAGGGUGUACCAUCUAAUUCAAAAAUAAAUAGAGAAUGAGCCACGAUUUUCAAGAAUUGUUGAUGUCCUUAUCCGUAUGCCCAUGUGUUUUUCAUUUAUGCAUUAUGGUCAUUAUUUUAUAAAAUGCUCUCAUUUAUGUUGUAUAAAAAUACAUUAUUUUUGGGUUUUCUACAUACCAUUACAAUUGUAUUGACCCCUAUAUUUCAGGAUCUGAGGCUCAGUCCCGGGGUCCCGCUUAGCGGUAGAUUGGUGUGUCUGAGAUUUGCAAUUGGUGAGUCUCCCCUAUUCCGGAAGGCCGAGCUUAUAGAACAAUGUUAUUUAGUUGAUUCAUGGUCCGACUGAGGGGCUUGUCCCAGUUUUGUUUUUGGACAUAUGUUGAAUCUUUUAAUGUUAGAGAUUUCGCAGACGAGUGUUAUGUGUUUUGAACAUUAAGGAUUUCCUUUCGAAUUGUCUAGUUGAAUUAUGACAU
rnacentral:lncRNA from 1 species